AGUAAGCGGCGCGAGCGUGCGAGUUUCUGACGCGCCCGCGUCGUCCCAGCUCCCUGGACUACCAGUAUUGUCGCCCACGUGGGCUUCUCUUUCGUCCGCUCAGGCCUCACUUUUCUCCGUAAACACCCCGGCACGAUGGAGCGGCCCCAGCGUUCGGGAGCGGCCCGGGAGCGGAAAGCGGCAGUGUCCUGGGAGCCUCGAAAGCCGCAGGGGCGGCAGCUCGCCUCGGAAUGACCUCUGACGGAAGAAAUAAAACGGGGCCUGGGACGCUUGCACGAAAGAACCCGACAAAAACCAGAGCCCGCACUCACUCUCGUACUGGGGAGGUGGACUUCAGGGAGGGUUAUCUGGAGGAGGAAUCUCUCAAAGUACAACACAGGAGAAAGACAGUAUCGCAAUACAGAAAUUUUAUUUUUUAUUUUAUUAUUAUUUUCCUGAGACCGGAGUCUCGCUCUGUCGCCCAGGCUGGAGUGCAGUGGCGCGAUCUCGGCUCACUGCAAACUCCGCCUCCCGGGUUCACGCCAUUCGGCUGCCUCACCCUCCACAGUAGCUGGGACUACAAGCGCCCGCCACCACGCCCGGCUAAUUUGCAAUACGGAAAUUUUAAUAGUCCACCGAGAGCCGCUUCAUGAGCAGAGACACGAACCCAGAGCCAGUGCCGCCCCCAAAGCUGUGGAAGAUGAGGAAGCCCUGCAGUCCC
rnacentral:lncRNA from 1 species